CAGCCGCCACGGUAAAACGUAGGUGGCAAGCGUUGUCCGGAAUUAUUGGGCGUAAAGGGCUCGCGGGCGGUUUCUUAAGUCUGAUGUGAAAGCCCCCGGCUCAACCGGGGAGGGUCAUUGGAAACUGGGAAACUUGAGUGCAGAAGAGGAGAGUGGAAUUCCACGUGCAGCGGUGAAAUGCGUAGAGAUGUGGAGGAACACCAGUGGCGAAGGCGACUCUCUGGUCUGUAACUGACGCUGAGGAGCGAAAGCGUGGGGAGCAAAUGGGAUUAGAGACCCCGGUAGUCCCUGUCUCUUAUAC
rnacentral:rRNA from 1 species